UGUGUGUGUGUGUGUGUAAAUAGAGAGAGUAGCAGUUAUAGUUUAGGGGGAUCAGGUAAGCUUUUUUCAGUUCUUGUAGGCAAUAUUUACAUCAUAUUAAUUUUUUCAUCCCCCUUGGAACUGUGAAUUCACCUGCAGUUGCCUUCACAAGCCAUAGUACCCACACCCUCAUCCUACAUGUAGUCAGAGCCAACAAAUUCCUUGGCAAGUUUUAAUUAAGCUCUUUCAGUGUGUCCACCCUGCAUAGGCUUGAUGGGGGAAUAGAUACAAGAGCAGUAUAAACCAGGGCCCCUUGCCAGAGCAAAUAUUUUGAUACUGAAUGAUUUGGCUGCAUCUAAGCAGGCGAGACCUGAGAACACUCACUCGCAAGGCUGCCUCUGCUAACCAAAUGGCACAGCAUACUAUGAUGUUAUAAUAUUAGGUUCUUAAUCAUGGAAACACUGGCGUCUGUUUCAGCGGAAGCUUCCUCCCAGAUGGUGCAUCCUACUGUUUUUGUCGUCUGGAACAGUGUGAGGUUUCUUAAAUGGCUGUACGCUUCCAAAUCAUCUUCCACACAAUGGCAGCCUGUUAAUUAAGUGGUCCCUUUGUGAUUGCAUUUGAUAAAUAUGAGAUGAGAAGGGUUUAUCGAGCUGUGAAGAAAAAAGCAAGGCACAGCAACAGGAAGAAGCUCCGGCGGGUGGAAAGGCCUUUGUGUGGGCGUCGUCCAGGGAGCUUCAAGGGAAUUGGGGACAGCUUUGCAGGCACAGAAAGGAGAAGGCUGGGAUUCACUCAGACCACACGCUGCGACGUCUGCCUAGUGGAUGGCCAGCCAGAUGGACAUGGUGUGUGAGGCACUUUGUGGCAGAGGCGGGCAGGGAGGUGGAAGCCUUCCAGUUCUUUCUAAGUUGACUGAUGUGAGGUUGUCAGUCACACUGCCAGGCGCUGUUUUGACUCCACUCAUCAAGAUUUGCACUGUGCAGCUCCAAAAAAGGUAUCUGCUUUGAAAGUAGUGUUCUGCAUUCUUGGAGCAGAUGACUGGUGACAACAUCCAAUUAAAUAUAAACGCUUGGCCGGGGGACUUGACUUGGAGGGUUGGUGAAGUUUCAGGUCUAACUUGUUAAACUUGGCCUUCCUCAAAUACUGGACAACUUUCUCCAAAAACAGCACGUCAGGGAAUGAAACCUAAUUAUAAGUGGCAUCUUCAAUUGGACACAGAUCUCCAUCAGCCACCUUCCUGCCUCGGGAAAGGCGUACAUCAACCCCAGGCUAGAGAAAGGAUCUGUGAUACCUGAUGACUUCUUUGUCUUUCCCACUGGUUCAAUCCUAUUUCAGCCAUUCAUGAGAUGAAUAUCUACGAGGCAUUUACAGGGAGGAGGGCACAUAUCUGCGGAGGUGACGACUGGGCUGAUGUGAUUCUGUGAACCACUUGAGGGCAGAGGCUUUGGCUUUAUCUUCAUACUUCCGACAUCUAGCAGAGUGCCUGCUGCCCGGCAUGGGAGAGCCUUGGUUUGGCAACUGACUUCCAGGGGACAUUGUGAAAGCUGGUUGACUCUUGGUCACGUGUUGCAGUGAUGAGCCGGUAGCAUCCUUGACUCUGAGCACCUCCCUCCCCUACUGGGAGGUUACCCCACUUGUUCUUCACCAUCAUGGCCACCACUGGACCCUAGUGUCUCAUUUCACACUACAGGCUCCCCCUGUAAAAUAAAAUUGAUAAGAGGCUUUCUCACUGGUCAGAUGCUCCUGCCUCCCAUCCAUUACUCAGUCUACUCGCCUGGCUUCUGAUCUCCUACCUUCUGAAUUUUGUGUACUUCUUGCCUCCUUGCCUGUGGUCUGUUGGCAUCUCUCCAGGUGCUUCUGUGGUACAUGCUGCCCUUUUGCCCGAUUACCCCUUGCUUCCUUCCUGGUCUCCACAAGCCAUGAUGAUCAUGGCCCCCACAGAACAAAUAGCAAAAAUACAAAGCCAUCACUUCCCUGACAUCCCUUGAGAAGACAGAGUGGAGAAGUCUGGCUGUGGAUUGCUGGAUAAGAAAUGGGUCACAACCUGCCCCCUAAUAGGGCCUUGCUCAUCCUAGUUAUUCCAGUUCAUGCCUAAGCACUUCCUACUCUCUGACACUUGUUUUUGUUCUGACUGGCCUUGCUGGUAAGAUGGAAGACAUUGAAUGGCAAAUAGCAAACCCGUAAGAGAACUGGAGUGCUCAGCUUCACCCCUCAGACUCGCUCCCAAGAAGGUAUCAUCUCCUCCAGAAGCAUGAAAGAGAAUGUUCCUGUUGUUAUUUCAGUAGACUUGGCUUUUUAGAGCAGUUUUAAGUUCACAGCAAAAUUGAGUAAGGUGCAAAAAGUUCCCAUAGACCCCACACAUGCACAAUCAUCCUUACCAUCAACAUCUCCCACCAGAGCAGUACGUUUGUUAUCACCCAUGAACCUACAUGGACACAUCAUUAUCACCAAAGUCUAUAGUUUACCUUCUUGGUACUGUACAUUCUAUGGGGUUUGACACAUACACUGAUAUGCCUCCACCAUUGCACUACUGUGCAGAAUAGUUUCAGUGCCCAAAAAUUUCUUUGUGUUCUGCCUGUUUAUCCCUCCCGCCCCCCAACCCCUAGAACACACCGACCUUUUCAUGGUCUCCAUAGUUUUGCCUUUUUCAAAAUCUCAUAUAACUGGAAUCAUACAGUAUGUAGCCUUUUCAGAUUGGCUUCUCUCACUUAGUAAUAUGCAUUUAAGGCUCUCUGUGUCUUUCCAUGAUUGGUAGCUCACUUCUUUCUAGCACUGAAUAUUGUUCCAUCAUCUGGAUAUAACACAGUUUAUAGAUUCAUUCACCUACUGAAAGACAUCUCGGUUGUUGCCAAGUUUGGCAGUUAUAAAUAAAGUUGCUAUAAAUAUC